rnacentral:lncRNA from 1 species
CAGCAUGAAGAUACGCACAUAAGAGUGGAGAUUUUCCCUGAUGAAAGGAGUCGAGCGUUCAGCUUGAGUUCACUAGGGUCACUUCCGGAUGAUGACAGUAAACAUGGAUGGUGGUCUCCAAAAUGGACCCGGACAGCACAAGAACUCACAAGGUUUGUCAUUUUUUAGACUCGUUUUAUAUGCAUUAAUAUGUACUACUGAA